UCUCUCUCUCUCUCUCUAGCUCUCUCUCUCUAGCUCUCUCUCUCUAGCUCUCUCUCUCUAGCUCUCUCUCUCUCUAUCUAUUUCCCUCUCCCCUUUCCUGCUGUGUCGCACUUCUCUUUCUCUUCCCAUAAGUCGUACCUCUCUCUGCUCCCUUCUCAUUUGUCUUUCACUUUCUCCCACAUGUGUUUGUCUGCUUCAGAUGGGCUGCAGUACCUUUUGCAUUUGAGGAAAGUUUCUUUUUUUUCUGUCCUUUUGGACUGAAAACAGGCGUGCACACCUUCUUCAGCUGGUGUUGGCACGGCCACAGACAGAUGCUUCAAACAGCUGUCAUCAAAAUGUCCAGAAGAUGGCGCCAUAGACCAGUAUGAGUUCUUGGCUCUUCCGUUACUAAAAAGAUGUUUCUGUUUCUGAAAUCCACACUCUUUUGCCACACAUUGUGUUUAAGAAAUUAAAGAGCUUGUUACCUGUAGGGGCAUUAAACUAUAAUUUUUUUUUUUAUCUAAAGAAAUAAUUGUUAUCUGUCUUUUAGCCUGUGAAGCUGUUGCCUGACCUGCAUUCGGCAGUCAUGUUUUUCUGUUAGUCUUUUGUGACAGAGAACAAAUGUACUUUAUUGGAUGAUGUAAUGGCACGCCUCAGUCAUAUGAUACACUGUGUGUGUAUAUAAUGUGUCAUUUCUGUAAUUUUUUUGUGAACAGAAUUAAAUACAGUUUUCAUUUGUGCACAUGAGCGCAUACAUUGCUGAAAGUGAAUGUACAGUUGUAGUUGGUCCUGGCUUAUCCAGGUCGGUUUAUUUACAGUUCUUAAAAUUAUACCUUGUCUAACAAAUACUACCAAACAACAAAAAAAAACUAAACGCAGAAAACAUUUUCACGCACUUUUAAUGCUUACAUUGAGUCAUUACAUUUUAAUUUGACCUAGUUCAUUUUGUGGUCACAAUUCAUAUUUAGUGUUUUUCUUUUUUUUUUGAUUAUUCAUUUAUUCUUUAUUUUAUGUAAUUUGUUUCACUCAGCAUAAUUUGUGAUCAAAUGGCGAUCCCUUGCUAUAAUGGAGAAAACUUUAUAAUAUUAUCUAAAUCAGUGGUUCCCAAUCUUGUUUGAGGCACCCUUGGAAAGCCUUUCAAAAGUUCCCGGCACCCUUAUAAGGAAAUAGAUAUUUAAAAUCUCUGUAGCUUUUUUAUUAUUAUUUAUUUAUUU